UCCUAGUCCAAAGGUAGACCGUGUG
rnacentral:piRNA from 1 species